CUGCCCAGUGCACCAGCCUAGUCUGGGAGCGGCAGGAUCCGCUGUAGGCAAGUCCAGACUGGAUAGACGACGUCCGGGGGUCACCCGUCGCACCUUGGGGACCCCUGUGGGGUCCAGAUGCCCGGUGAGCCCGUGGAUGUCACUUUUAUCCUGAUUUGGAGAACCUGUUGAGGAGAUUUUCUUGAGUAGCCUGUUGUGAAAUGAGGAGCCUAAUAGGAAAAGGCAGUCUGAGGUUACUGUUUCAGAGAAGGAAAGCCUGAAGGAACAUUUGAAAACAAACUAGCUUCAGAGUUUAAAACUCCUGGUAGAAACAAUAGUUAAAGGAUUGGAAGAUUGGCAAGAAUUCAUCAUAAUGCCCUCAGAGGAUUGGAUGGUGACCACCAGGUUUGCAGAGGGCCACGGCUUUACAUGGACCACCAAUUCAAAUGCUGAUCUCUUCUGAAAACACCUUCAUGGACACAUUCAGAAAUAACGUUUAACCAGCUGUCUGGGCAUGGCUCAGUCAAGUUGACACAUAAAAUUAACCAUCAGUGUUAAUUUAGAUAAGUCACUUAAAUUCUCUGAGGCUUGGCUGCCUUGUCUAAAAUAAAAGGAUAUUGUUCCUGACCAGCUUGAAAACUUGGUUACCAAUUCAUUCUGCAUGGCUGGUAUAUAAAUAUAGAUUAACAUUUAUCAUUAACAUUUAAAUUAACAAUUUAAAAAGUACUUGCUCAGUGCAGAAAAUCUGAAAAACCAAGAAAACACUAUACCUUUCUCCCUUUACUUUCAUCUGUACCCUUCAGAGAUAAUCACUGCCACAAUUUUGGUACAUGUUCUUCAGGUUAUAUCCUGAGCAUACUGUACGUUGACAUGUAGAUGACUUCCUAGUUGAUAAUUAGAUUAAAGCUCUGUUAAUUUGUGAAAAUUAUAGGAAUUAUAAUUUUCCUUCUAGCUAUUAAGUAUAUUUAAGAUCAUACUCUAUUAGAAACAAUGAUAAGUUCUUUGAUGGUUAGUUUUCCCCAAAGCGAAUCUAAUGUUAGAGUUUCUGAACAGAUCAAAGGUUGGCAGUUGCAUCGGAAGGAAUAUUUUUGGGAAGGAGGUUCUUGGAAGAAGCCUACUUACCCACCUACCAGUGAGGACUUUGUUGAUAGGGUUAGAUUGCAACAUGUUUGCCAAAGGAUAGGCAAGCUCCACUAGGUGGUGGCAUUGCCAUGCGGCCCAACAAGACAAGCUGCAAGAAACUGGCUGAAGAUUAUGUGAAUAUUAAAGACAGAAAUUUGGACAUGAAUACCAAAACUACUGAGGGCCAAGCAAUAGGACUUUUGACUUACACACUUUUGAGCCAGCUGAGGGCUGGUCUGGAGGACUGUCACAUCUAUCACAUGUGUGUUUUAAGAUGUAUUUAUAAACACACACACACACACACACACACACACACACACACGACCUACGGAAUUAUGCCAUCUGGGAACCAAACUAGAAGAGCAAAUUUCCCUCAAGGAGGUAAAAAAAUAUAACAUAUAAUAUGAUAAUUACAUAGUGCACACAAGAUGUGUUUUGAACUUUACGGAAAUAAACCUUUCAGGCUCAAAUUCUGGUGCCAAAUAAUAAUAAUAGCCAGAAGAGAACUAUGUCUUGUGGUUUUCUUGUAAUCCCUUCCAGUUCCUCACACACAUCAAAUUAUGCUGAGGAAAGUGGGGACAACGCAUACUUUUCAGGGGAAGUUCAGUAAGUUGAACUUUUUGGAUCAAAACACUAGCAAAACAACAUUGAAAAAUGACAAUAUUUAACUUCCCUUUUGAGUACACAUAAAUAUUAGGAAAGAAUGAAGAUACCCUCACUUAAAAAUUAUUUUAAAAGUUCCAUGUUUGAAACAAUUAGGGCUUGGUUUUCUCAGACUUUGUGGAUUCUACUUUCAGACAAGUCUUUUUUAGGGGUCACUCAGUGCUUUAGUGUAUUCUUUGUAUUUUACAUAUCAAAGAAAUUUUGUUUUUCUCAUAAUUUCUUUCCCCACAAUGGUAUUUAUUUUCCCCUUUGUACUAGACAUAAGAUAGGAAAGGGAGGAAACUUUUUAUGAUUCCAUUUUAUCAUAGUUCUUUGUGAUAAUAGUGGAAUUCACGCAACACACAGCUCAAAAUGGAGUUGAAACAUGCCACAUACAUCUAACUGACAUUAUAUACAUUGACACCUAGAAACUGUGCAAGUAGGCGGUGUUAGAAUAAGAAUUAGAACCUUUAAUUUUCUCUCCCAUUCCUUUUCCUUGGUUUCUCUUGAUGUAAUGUGCUCCUAAGGUGGAUGCUUCAUGGUAUUUGCCCUAAUGUUUGUAACUCCUCACAAACUAUUGUGAACAGUAGAUUUUUGACCUCCAGUUUCAUUGGCUGACUACACUUGACCCUGGGACUUUCCCAUUCAAAGGAGGCCCUAGAAUUCAGGCCAAGGCAGUACUGACUCCAGAAUUCUAGAUUUGCUGUGAGGGGAAAAAAAAAAAACUGGAGUAAUGAUUUGUCAAAAAUGUAGAGAUCACUUUGGAAGCAUGCAGCCAGGAACCUAAAUAUUGUCUCUUCCAGAUUAAGGCCAGAGCAAGCAUAAAUUGGCCAGCCAUGCCUUCAUGCGAUCAGCUUUGGAUGAUAGGCAUGGAGUUUUCUAAGAGUUGAGCUGUAGUGGCCCCAACUCUCAAUAAAGUGUAUGUAUAUAUGUGAGAAGGAUGACUUAAUCAAUAAGCUGGGAUUGUGGUAGUGAUUUCCUUUGAGUCUUCAUUUAAAAUUGAUUUUAAAUGUGAUUAGCUUUUGAGGAGAGGGAAGGAAGACAGGGAGUAAAAGGUUAAUUGCUGGGAGUAGACACAUUCAAAGGCAGUUUUGUCACAGAACAUCUGAGAGUCAAAUUUAGAUCCAGAUGAGAUUUGAGAUAUAUUUUUGGCCAUUUUCCUUCUUGCACUGAGGACUUUUUAAAGUUAUAGUCUGGAUCUUGCUUUUGUAGAAGUUUAAAAAAUUUCCAACUCUGAUUAACCUCACCAAAAGCAUUUGAAAGCUAUCUGAGAUAACAUAAAAUUUUCUGUGCUUAUUACUCUAAACUUUAAAAAUACAUUUUUUAAAUUAAGUAAUCUUUGUGCCCAACAUGGGGCCUGAAGUCAUGACCCUGAGAUCAAGAGUCACAUGCUCCACUGACCGAGCCAGCCAGGUGCUUCACUCUAACCUUUCUGAACAAAAUCAAAUAUAAAUUAAUAAAUAAAUAAAGGUAUAAUAUAUUUCUGGUCAUAUUUAACUUACUUGAUUAUUUGGGUAAGGAAAUUUUUUUAAGACAGGCAAGUAAUUGUUUUACUCUGCCAUAGUUUAAGAAGAGUAACUACAGUUUACUACAAUAUGCCAUUCGUAAAUACGUCUUAAAUCCUUUGUCCAUGGAUUUUCACAUUUUUAAGAGAAUGAGAGCACCAUUUUUGCAGUCAUGGUGGUCUCUUUCUCUCUUUUUUUUUUAAUUCUGAAGGAUCCUGUACCUGCCAAUGGUUAAAUUUCUUCUGGGAGUAGAGAUAGGCUUCCAUAUAGGAUUACUUUGCAGUAAAGUCAGAAAUCUGAAGCACAUGAUUUAAAUGGUUAAGCAGUGCUUGCAAGCCAUGAUAUCAGAGGAAAUAACUGCUAUUAAGUGAAAGCUGAACAGCAGUGUACAGGCAAAAAAAAUUUCCUCAUUUUCACCAGCUAAUAAUCAAAACAGUUUGACACUAGCCAGAAAGAGCCAAAAAAUAUGGAAACAAUUAUUGAAUUAAAUGAAAUAUCACAAAAUUAUAUGUUAUUUUGCAUUUUGAGUUAAGGUAAAAGCAUUUUCAUGAAGAUUCUAUUAUGUAUUGACCAAAUAAAAGAAAAAGGUUAGGAGUGGUUUAAAGGCAAAUGUAAGAAAUUUGAUAUUUUCAGAUACUAGUGGAAAAGUGUAUGGAUUAUUCUUGCUUCCACAUGCACAGUUCUACUUUAAAUUCUACUGCUGACUGCCUUUAUUAUUAGGUUGGAAUAAUUAAUUCUAUGAUGGAAUAAAAAUGGUUUCAUUGACAAGAAAAAGAUGCCUUACAAGUGUGGUUGUGGGUUUGAUCAAAUGCAUAUAGUUUGUCUUAAAAAAGUGAUGAUGAUUGUCAUUAAAUCUCAAGCUCUGUUUUUACUUUUAUGAGACUGUUACACACCCUAACUGCAUUAACACUACAAUAACAAAAUCACGUUUCCUGCUAUUUCAAGAAAUCUGAAAUGGUGAUGAAAGACAUUUCCUACCAAUGAUGUCAGUGGUUAUUUAAUUGCCAUUAAGAUGGCAAUGAAACUCUUUCUUGUCACUUACCCAUGAUGAAGUGUUCUUGAUCAGAUUGUGUUAAACAAAAUGGCUGCCAUCAUCUUAGACAUUCUUUCUGAAAACUAGGUUUUCAUUACUCUAAUAAUGUUAGAGCAAUCUGUAUGACGUUUAUAUUAGCUAUUGAAUUACUGCUUUUAAAUAGCAUAUUUUUAAAAAAUUGGAUUACCUUGGUUUUCCAUAUUAAAUAUAAUGUAUGUUUUUUUGUAAUGUUAAUAAAAAACCACUUUUCAUUAUUUGAGAUAAAAAUCGAUUGCCGACUUUAGAUCCCAAAUUUGUUCUGUCUUAUUAAUUUCAACUUCUGGUAGGAUUCCCCCCCACCCCCCAAUAUCAGACCUGUACUUAGGUCACAUACAUAUGACCUAAAGCAAAUCGGAAACUUUAAGGUCAUUUUUUCUUUUGACUUGAGAUAUAAAUAAAGGGGUUGUAAUGGUGCUGUCUUUUCUCUCAUCAUUAUUGAUAUUUCCCAUUAACCCAGUCAGCUGCUGUCUUUAUUCCCCUAAGUGCAUCUAUAUUCUGGCAAAGGUUGGUAGAGAAUGAAAAGAAAUGAAGACUAUAGAGCAAGAAGAAAGAUUACAGCAUCAAUUCACAAGUGGAGAAGCAACCUUAACAUUGGAAUAAAAAAAAUUUCCCUAUAUCUCAAAGCCUAAAAAUUGCUGUUGAUAUUUAAAUUUGAAGAUAUUGUGGUUGAAAAAAGUCACAGACAUAUAAACGAUGGUAUCUAUCUUUGGAUGGACUUACUUUGGUUAACAGAAUACUGGAAAAUUUGAUUCAAGCAGAGAUUUGAGGAGCAUAUAUGUUGGAACCUACCCUAUCUUGCUGUUGUUUGGGACCUUGAGAGUGCUGUGAAAUGAAACCCUGAACAUCCUACCGCAGGAAGAAAUACCACAUGGAGCUGGAGAUAAGUUAUCCUAGCCCUUAUCUUCUUAGACCAACAAGCCUGCCAGCCCUCAGACAUAUGUGGAUGUGGUCUUGCUGAAGCUAUUUAAUGUUAAGAAUGAAAACAUUCAAGAAUGAAACAUUGUGGAGGAGGGUCAGAGGAAACAAUUGGAGGAGUAAAGAAAUGUGAUUAGUUUUGUGAUCCAGAUAUGAAUUCAUGGUGCUUAGAGAGCCUUCAUCUAUUCUGUGAAUAAGAAAUGAUGAAACAUAAGUAUAAAACAUGGCAGUCAGAUGGAUGGAAAAAGCUCUCAGGUACUCACUGACAUUUUAGAGUAUCUGAAUCACAUGACUGCUUACCUCCAGAUUUUUUGCCAUGUGAAAAAAAAUAAACCUUUCUUUGUUUAAGUCACUAUAA